rnacentral:rRNA from 1 species
AUUGAACGCUGGCGGCAGGCUUAACACAUGCAAGUCGAGCGGGGUGAUGGUGCUUGCACUAUCACUUAGCGGCGGACGGGUGAGUAAUGCUUAGGAAUCUGCCUAUUAGUGGGGGACAACAUCUCGAAAGGGAUGCUAAUACCGCAUACGUCCUACGGGAGAAAGCAGGGGAUCACUUGUGACCUUGCGCUAAUAGCUGAGCCUAAGUCGGAUUAGCUAGUUGGUGGGGUAAAGGCCUACCAAGGCGACGAUCUGUAGCGGGGCUGAGAGGAUGAUCCGCCACACUGGGAUGGAGACACGGACCAGACUCCUACGGGAGGCAGCAGUGGGGAAUAUUGGACAAUGGGGGGAACACUGAUCCAGCCAUGCCGCGUGUGUGAAGAAGGCCUUAUGGUUGUAAAGCACUUUAAGCGAGGAGGAGGCUACUAGUACUAAUACUACUGGAUAGUGGACGUUACUCGCAGAAUAAGCACCGGCUAACUCUGUGCCAGCAGCCGCCGUAA